AUUCCAGAAAGCCGCGCCGGCCCCAGUCCCCAUGGGCUGAAGGCAGGUUGAGUUCUUCCCCAGGUCUGCGAGCCUCGAAGGCUUCUUUCAGACAGCAGACCCCUUAGAAGCGCAAGGCUGCUUUCUGACAAAGAAUCAAGUGUUCCUUUCAACCAGCCAAGGGACUGGUUUUCUCGCUGACCCUUUGACAGCUCCAGCCGGUCCCUCCAUUCGAGGUCCCUGACUUCCUGCAACAGACUGAGAUGGCCUUCUGAGCUUUUCCAGGGCUGACGACCACCUUCUUGAUACCUUCCCCUCUCUCGUUCUGAAUCCGUGCCCACCAGACAGGGAAUCCAGGCUUUCGGAGAUGAGGACUGGGAGGUCUCCAGACCACACAAGCCCCCUAUUUGCACUGGCCUUUGGAAUGAGCCUACAGCCUGCCUCCACUCCUCCUGGUACCCCAGCUGUUCUCAAGGAAUUGGCCAGAAGUCAGACUCCUUUCCCAGCUGUCCUCCACUUCUUUCCUGCCAGGCACCCUAGGCCCCAUGGUGGGAUUGGGCCUAUAGGCUGUGAUUUUCCACAUCCUUGUCAAACCUGUACUACCUGAAUGCCUAGAGGAAAAGAUACUGCCUUAAUUACUAUUAUGAGCACGAAUGCCUUCUUACUCUUGAAUUUAGCUGAGUGCUGCCUGCAGGUAAAGUCACCUGGAGAACCAUCCAGGGACUUUGUCCUCAUAGGAUCACUUGUACCUCUCUAGGGUUGCUGUGGCAGCUGCCAGAGUGGCCCGGGCCAUGGAUGAGGGCCAGGAUAUGGAAAGCAGAGGCAGAAAUGAGCCCAGAGGCCACAGGGCCCAGCUCUCAGGCUCCCACGGUGAAGCCCAGAGGGUUCCUUCUCUCUCCUGCUUCAGGCUGACAAUGUUUGUCAGCCUCUGCUCCCAACCCCUAUACCCAGCAACCUCUGCGCCCAAGCACAUGGUCUGAAGAAUAUUCUGGUGUUGGGCCCCUGUAGGUGGCCUGCCGUGACGGUGGAAGCCUGGAACGUAGUGACAUGGAUUCAUCAUUGGGAUGUUUCAUCCUAAGGAAACGCACUCGCAGGUGGCUGUAGACCUUGGGGACUCCAGCCUCGUUCAUUUAAGCUCCCACAAUGUUCCAGGCCCUAUGCGGCUUGCAAGGGGCAGAGAGACACAGAAUGACAGCCGACAUGGCACUCUAUUGGUGCACUGGCACUGUUUUUUUUUUUGAGAUGGAGUCUUGCUCUGUCACCCAGGCUGGAGUGCAGUGGCAUGAUGGAGAUGCAACCUCUACCUCAUGGGUUCAAGCGAUUCUCCUGCCUCA
rnacentral:lncRNA from 1 species